GAGUUUAUUUUGUAUUUUUGCUUUCUUAUGUUAUAUUGAAAUGAGGUGAAGUUCUUGUAUUGUUGUUAUUAUUAGUUAAGGUUUAGUUGAGUUCUGGGCUAGUUAUGUUUCAUCUGUGUCUCCUUGGUUAUGUGUCUUUUCUGUUCUCUGUGUAGUCUGUCUUGUCUUCUGUGUUUUACUGUUAUGUUCAUGCCAGGGCAGAAGUAAAUUUUUAGGGGUGAAGAUGCUGUUCACCUUGACCAGCUAAGACUACAGAUUGUAGAUGAAGUCGAGAAAAGUGAAAAGGUCAGAUCCUGGAUCGCUGGCCUACUCUGAAAUCCCAGUCCCAGAUCUGUGCAGAAUUCCACAGGAUUACAAACCUCGACCUGAAGAACCACUUUUAUGCUGUGUUGGACCAACAUGCUCCCCGGCUCCAGAGCUUAUUCAGAAAGAAAGCUGUUUGCACAGGGAACGUGUCUGAUGUCCUGUGUCAGCUCUUCAGAAGCUAGAAUCUCCAGGAACAAGCUGAUAUCCAUGCCCAACGUGCUGGUGUGCUUCAUGCCCUCCCUGCCUAUUUGUACGAAGACACCUCUACCUUCAUCAAAACUUGGGGUGUAAGUUUUGGACAAAGUUGUGAACAAUAUCUUAGUAGCAUCCUUGUUUAGAUUUCACAAAACAUUAUGACACUUUGACAGUGUGAGAAGCAUCUCCAUGCUUUGGGUCUGUCUACAACAGUGUCCA